rnacentral:rRNA from 1 species
UCCAUUUUCUGCCACCGAAUACAUUAGCAUGGGAUAAUGGAAUAGGACCCUGUCCUCCUAUUUUCAGUUGGUUUUGGCAGCGCGAGGACUAGGGUAAUGAUUAAUAGGGAUAGUUGGGGGCAUUAAUAUUUAAUUGUCAGAGGUGAAAUUCUUGGAUUUAUGAAAGAUUAACUUCUGCGAAAGCAUCUGCCAAGGAUGUUUUCAUUAAUCAAGAACGAAAGUUAGGGGAUCGAAGACGAUCAGAUACCGUCGUAGUCUUAACCAUAAACGAUGCCGACCAGCGAUUAGGAGACGUUGAAUACAAAACACCACCAUCGGCGCGGUCGUCCUUGGCGUCGGUCUUUCGGGGCCGGCGCGGGGGCGGCUUAGCCCGGUGGCACCGGUGAAUGACUCCCUA